AGGAAGCCCUGCCCAUGGCUCCGCCUCCUGCCCGCACCUGGCCGCGGUGCGGCUAAGCCCGCAAGCGCGCGAGGAGGGGCGGGGACUGAGUGACUGUAGGAGGAGGGGCUGGAGUCUCGGAAGCCGAGUGGCUCUGGAGAGAUCAAUGCCCCCAUCAUCCUCUCUCAAGAAUCAAACCCACGACACAGCUUGGGCAGAACCCAAAAUCGUCUGAAGUCCAUGUGGGAGGAGUUAACGCAGACCUGACAGCAGCGGAGGUGAGGCCACGAGGGGUGGAGUCCAGAGAAGAAAUCCGACACGGUAGUAGGUUGCAGUAGUGUGCAAUGGGGAGACGGUAUCAAAUGAAGACACAAGACAACAGGAGCUGUCACCGGCGCCACAGAGGAGCUGGGUUGAGCCACUGAGAUCUGAAACCAACAUGGGACACUUGGUCUAUGGCAACCCAGGAAGGCCUCCUGGAGGAAGUGACCUGAAUGACAGGAAUGUGAGACUUGCCUGUCUUCUCGACCUAAUGAGCAGCUUCCUGGGGGUAGGGCUUGGUUGGAGUCAUCUCUGGGCCUGGCAGAGGACAUGGGUGAAUUACCUCCAAACAUGAGGCUGGUCUGCAAGACCCUCCUUACUCUGCUUCAGAUCCUCAGAUGACACACAGGAUUGACAUUUCCUGAGUGUGCUAAUGGUGUGGCAUGCGGGAAGAGCCACCAGAAGGAGGCUGUGGGUCAGACUCCAUGUUCUGACCUUGGACAUCAACACUUUGUGGGCUUUACUGGGAACAGGGACCUUUCCAUGUUCAUUAUUUUCUUCCCUUCCCACACUGGGCCUGGCAGACAACAGUCUCAAUUAAUUGGUGUUUGGAAGGGGAAAUGUGCUGAUUGAGUAAGUGAACACCUUUCUCUAUAUCCUUUUUCUGAUGAACUCUUACUCAUCCUUCAAGACCCAAACUAAAUUCCCCUCUGCUAAAUCAGGCUGCUCAAACACAUUUCUGUUUCAUCUUGCCUCUGUGAAGAAGUCCAUACACCUUUCAGAAUAUAAACAUUUACCCACAGACCAUAGCAGGAUGAGGAAAAUAAUCUCUUUGACAAAACCCUCAGAGCCCCUUAACAUAGGGCACAGUUUUCCUAACUCCCACAGGGAGGCUCUUGGCUGCACCUGGGAGUGGGCAUGGGAUGCUGCAUGGGGCCCCUAGGAAGGCAGAGAGUGUGUCAGGUGACCCAAAGCCAGGCUAGUUCCUGCCAGGACGGGAAGAACUGGUGUUGGGUGGACCCAAAAAUGAGACCCAGUGGGAAGGGAAGAGGAAGUGGUUAAAUGACACUUCCAAAAGCUUAGGGGAAUGGAGAAUCUGAUUUUCCCAUCAGACUUGUGGACGUGUAGGAGUGAGGCAGGAUAGAAAGGGAAAAUGAUGGAAGAGGGGUCCCUUACUCCAGAGUCUAGCUGAAGUUUCUCACUAGCUAAGAGACAGGGGUUCCAGCACAAUUAAACAUAUGGAGUUGUUUGUUUGUUUUAGUUUUUGUUGGUAAGAGUUAUGUUUAUUUAUUAUUUUAAAAUCACGUAUAUUUGUGUGUGUCUGUAGAUAGGUACAUGGAUAUGCGUGUAGGUGCCUGGGGAGGCCAGAAGCAUCUGACUCCUUGUGUGCCGGGAACUAAAUUCAAGGUCUUCUGCAAAGCAGUACACACUCUUAACCACUGAGCCAUCUCCCCAGCCCAUAUUGUAAAUUUGAGUUUUAUGUGUAUUGGUGUUUUGUCCACCUGUAUGUUUGUGCACCACAUGCAUGCCUGGAGACCAGAAGAGAGCAUCAGAGCCCCUGCAACUGGAAUUACAGCUGGUCCUGAGCUGCCAGGUGGAUGCUAGGAGUUGGAUCCAGGUCCUCUGGAGAGCAGCCCACACUCUUAACUGCUAAGCUCUCUCUCCAGACCCUUCUUUUCUUUUCUUUCUUUCUUAAUAUUUUUUUCACAUUUAUUUAAUUUGGGUGUAUUCCCGCACGUGUGUGUCAUGGUGUACAUGGGAUGGUCCUUCCACCUGUGUGAGCCAUGGAGCUAACUGGCUGGUCCAAUAUUUCUUUUAUAUAGAAAUAUUUUCACAUAAGAAUUCUAAACUCACAGUAAUCUGGGCCAAAGAACCAAGUGUGUCUGACCUGGGACCUCUCUCUUCGCCUGAGGACUUUCUUCCACAGAUGAGCCCCCUGAUCUGGAGUUCCACGUUCUCUUCUGUAAUCCCACCAGACAGGAAACCAAGGCACAGAGAGAGUACCAGGCUUGCCUCAGUCACACGGAAGAGGGAGGUAGAGGAAGCCAGGUUGAACGACUCUGAUGACGCUCAGAGACUGGGG